GAUGAAGAACGUAGCGAAAUGCGAUAAGUAAUGUGAAUUGCAGAAUUCAGUGAAUCAUCGAAUCUUUGAACGCACCUUGCGCUCCUUGGUAUUCCGAGGAGCAUGCCUGUUUGAGUGUCAUUAAUAUAUCAACCUCUUCAGCUUAUGCUUGUUGAGUGUUGGAUGGUGGGGGUUUGCUGGUGUCUUAUGAAGUCAGCUCCUCUGAAAUGCAUUAGCGGAACAAUUUGUUGACCGUUCAUUGGUGUGAUAAAAAUAUCUACGCUAUUGACGUCAGUCAGUUCAGCUUCUAACAGUCCAUUGACUUGGACAAAUUUUUCAUUAAUGUGACCUCAAAUCAGGUAGGACUACCCGCUGAACUUAAGCAUAUCAAUAGCGGAGGA
rnacentral:misc_RNA from 1 species